UCUCCGUUGGUGAGCCAGCGGAGGGAUCAUUACAGAGUUGCAAAACUCCCAAACCAUUGUGAACGUUACCUAUCCCGUUGCUUCGGCGGGCGGCCCGGGCCCCGCGCCCGGCGCCCCCCGGCCCCCCGUGGGCGCCCGCCGGAGGUAAACCAAACCCUUGAAUUGCAUGGCCUCUCUGAGUCUUCUGUACUGAAUAAGUCAAAACUUCCAACAACGGAUCUCUUGGUUCUG
rnacentral:misc_RNA from 1 species